rnacentral:misc_RNA from 1 species
GCAGAACCAGUGAAAUGGUGAGGAUGUGUACAUCUCAAUAGGGGAAGGGAAAAAAUAUACAUGCACAUAAGUCGCAUAAAAUAGUUGCCACUUGCAGAUUUCAAGUAUUGCUAUACUGUUGACAAUGUACAACUUAGUUUCUGACCUUCUGGAUUAUCAUCAUAGUAAUUCCUAGCUCUCCAUAAUUGAUAUCUAUGAUCUAUCAGAUAAUAUUGGUGAAAGCAAUGUCUAUUGUCUAGCAUUAAAUUGAGUCUAGUGCCUAAUUCAACAAAGUUGUUCUAUUUAUCAAGUAGGUCUAAAAUCAUAGAUGGUAAAAGUAACCAAAAAAUCAUUAUCAAUUAAUGGACCAUUUUCUGGGGCGUACCUUUGGGGCCAUAAGAGCCCAAACAAGAUGAAGAGGUGUGUAUAUUAAAUGUCUUGUAACACAAUUACCACUAAUAUUUAACCAAAAAGGUACAAAAACAGCAGCUGUGCAGCGGCAGCAACAACAACAGAAUUUGUAUACAUUUCAGUAGCAACUUAAAGUUGCAUAAACAUGUCAACCCUCCAAAGGCCAGAGUUACCACUAAUGAAUGGAAAUAACACUUAGGCUUCCUUUGAAAUUAAUCAUUUAUAAAAAAAGAAUUCAAUUGUAUUCUCACACAAUCAUGCUUGAUU